rnacentral:snRNA from 1 species
AGGGCUUCUCAGCCUUUUGGCUAAGAUCAAGUGUAGUAUCUGUUCUUAUUGGUUAAAUAUCUGAUACAUCCUUUAUAUGAUAACACUAUAUUAAAUGGAAUUUUGGAACACAAAGAUGGACUAGAAGCUUGUUCCACCUACUCCACAUAUCGACCUGGUAUUCCAGUACUUCCAGGAAUGGUGCCCCACUU